rnacentral:rRNA from 1 species
CGCACGGGUGAGUAACACGUAUGCAACCUGCCUGCCACAGCCGGAUAAUCGGGAGAAAUUCCGUCUAAUACGGCAUAAUGCAUCGACGGGACAUCCUGUUGGUGCCAAAGGUAGAUUCCGGUGGCGGAUGGGCAUGCGUCGCAUUAGUUAGUUGGCGGUGUAACGGCCCACCAAGACAACGAUGGAUAGGGGUUCUGAGAGGAAGGUCCCCCACAUUGGAACUGAGACACGGUCCAAACUCCUACGGAAGGCAGCAG